rfam:Schistosoma mansoni, Puerto Rico, WGS project CABG01000000 data, contig: 0268
AUCCAGCUGACGAGUCCCAAAUAGGAUGAAAUGCUCGUCCUUGGU